GACGAACGUUUGCGGCGUGCUUAACACAUGCAAGUCGAACGGAAAGGCCCUGCUUUUGUGGGGUGCUCGAGUGGCGAACGGGUGAGUAACACGUGAGUAACCUGCCCUUGACUUUGGGAUAACUUCAGGAAACUGGGGCUAAUACCGGAUAGGAGCUCCUGCUGCAUGGUGGGGGUUGGAAAGUUUCGGCGGUUGGGGAUGGACUCGCGGCUUAUCAGCUUGUUGGUGGGGUAGUGGCUUACCAAGGCUUUGACGGGUAGCCGGCCUGAGAGGGUGACCGGCCACAUUGGGACUGAGAUACGGCCCAGACUCCUACGGGAGGCAGCAGUGGGGAAUAUUGCACAAUGGGCGGAAGCCUGAUGCAGCAACGCCGCGUGCGGGAUGACGGCCUUCGGGUUGUAAACCGCUUUCGCCUGUGACGAAGCGUGAGUGACGGUAAUGGGUAAAGAAGCACCGGCUAACUACGUGCCAGCAGCCGCGGUGAUACGUAGGGUGCGAGCGUUGUCCGGAUUUAUUGGGCGUAAAGGGCUCGUAGGUGGUUGAUCGCGUCGGAAGUGUAAUCUUGGGGCUUAACCCUGAGCGUGCUUUCGAUACGGGUUGACUUGAGGAAGGUAGGGGAGAAUGGAAUUCCUGGUGGAGCGGUGGAAUGCGCAGAUAUCAGGAGGAACACCAGUGGCGAAGGCGGUUCUCUGGGCCUUUCCUGACGCUGAGGAGCGAAAGCGUGGGGAGCGAACAGGCUUAGAUACCCUGGUAGUCCACGCUGUAAACGGUGGGUACUAGGUGUGGGGUCCAUUCCACGGGUUCCGUGCCGUAGCUAGCGCUUUAAGUACCCCGCCUGGGGAGUACGGCCGCAAGGCUAAAACUCAAAGGAAUUGACGGGGCCCCGCACAAGCGGCGGAGCAUGCGGAUUAAUUCGAUGCAACGCGUAGAACCUUACCUGGGUUUGACAUGGAUCGGGAGUGCUCAGAGAUGGGUGUGCCUCUUUUGGGGUCGGUUCACAGGUGGUGCAUGGCUGUCGUCAGCUCGUGUCGUGAGAUGUUGGGUUAAGUCCCGCAACGAGCGCAACCCUUGUUCACUGUUGCCAGCACGUUAUGGUGGGGACUCAGUGGAGACCGCCGGGGUCAACUCGGAGGAAGGUGGGGAUGACGUCAAGUCAUCAUGCCCCCUAUGUCCAGGGCUUCACGCAUGCUACAAUGGCUGGUACAGAGAGUGGCGAGCCUGUGAGGGUGAGCGAAUCUCGGAAAGCCGGUCUCAGUUCGGAUUGGGGUCUGCAACUCGACCUCAUGAAGUCGGAGUCGCUAGUAAUCGCAGAUCAGCAACGCUGCGGUGAAUACGUUCCCGGG
rnacentral:rRNA from 1 species